rnacentral:tRNA from 1 species
CAAGGGGCCCUAUCAUGAACUUUUUAGGAUAAUAGUUAAAUUAACAUUUAAUUUGCAUUUAAA